UACAGAGGUGGCAAGCGUUGUUCGGAAUUACUGGGCGUAAAGGGCGCGUAGGUGGCCUUUUGAGUCAGACGUGAAAUCCCCCGGCUUAACCUGGGAACUGCGUCUGAUACUGGAUGGCUUGAGUUUGGGAGAGGGAUGCGGAAUUCCAGGUGUAGCGGUGAAAUGCGUAGAUAUCUGGAGGAACACCGGUGGCGAAGGCGGCAUCCUGGACCAACACUGACGCUGAGUGAGCGAAAGCCAGGGGAGCAAACGGG
rnacentral:rRNA from 1 species